AGCUGAACUGUUUACAAUGUUCUUACAGGGAAUGGUAUUCGUGGCACUUCCCCGAGCUAGUGAAGAUAGCCAGGAUUUAUCACCAGUUGACCUGAGCAACGUACAGACCUUUGCUUAGAGAGUUAUGGAUCUUGCUGACUACAGGAAGAAGCUAACGUACAGACCUAAUUUGGCAGCUUUGAUUGUAUUUUUAUUUUUGAGUAAUGUCGGUUGCGUUUCACUUUUCAGUUUUACAGGCUGUAAGUUCUGCAAUCACAUGAUUACUUCGAAAAAAUAUCAUUCGAAGUGCAUAUCAAAAUCUCCCAUGGAUGUUAAAUGGGGAAACCAAACAAUAAUUCUGUGCUCAGAUCCACAUGCGUAAUAAAUUUAUAAAGUUAGUUUUUUUAUAA